AGCAGCCGCGGUAAUUCCAGCUCCAAUAGCGUAUAUUAAAGUUGUUGCAGUUAAAAGCUCGUAGUUGAAUUUCGGGAUUGACGUGAUGGUCAUGCCUUAAGGGGUAUGAACUGUUACUGUUGAUUUCUCACCUUCUGGAGAAACUUGAUGUCCUUUAUUGGGUGUCUUGCGGAUCCAGGACCUUUACCUUGAAAAAUUAGAGUGUUUAAAGCAGGCAUUUUUGCUCGAAUACAUUAGCAUGGAAUAAUAGAAUAGGACGGCAUGGUUCUAUUUUGUUGGUUUCUAGGAUCACCGUAAUGAUUAAUAGGGAUAGUUGGGGGCAUUAGUAUUCAAUUGUCAGAAGUGAAAUUCUUGGAUUUAUUGAAGACUAACUACUGCGAAAGCAUUUGCCAAGGAUGUUUUCAUUAAUCAAGAACGAAAGUUAGGGGAUCGAAGACGAUCAGAUACCGUCGUAGUCUUAACCAUAAACUAUGCCGACUAGGAAUCAGACGAUGUUAAUUUUUAAUGACUUCGUUGGUCC
rnacentral:misc_RNA from 1 species